UUCGUAGGCGGUUUGUCGCGUCGUUUGUGAAAACCAGCAGCUCAACUGCUGGCUUGCAGGCGAUACGGGCAGACUUGAGUACUGCAGGGGAGACUGGAAUUCCUGGUGUAGCGGUGAAAUGCGCAGAUAUCAGGAGGAACACCGGUGGCGAAGGCGGGUCUCUGGGCAGUAACUGACGCUGAGGAAGAAAGCGUGGGUAGCGAACA
rnacentral:rRNA from 1 species